UUAAAUAAAUUUCACUCAUUUUAAAAUUAAAAAUUCUUAAAAAAAAUUAUUUUAAUAAUUAAAGUUAAAUUCCUUUUUUUAAAAAAUUAAUUUAAUUUAAAAUUUAAAAAUAUUUCAUUAAAAAUUAUUAAGAAAAAUUCAAUUUUUAUUCCUUUUGUAUCAGAAUAAUUCAAAAUAAUUAAAUUAAAUCAAAAUCUCGAAAUAAAAAAAUUUAAAUAAAUAAUUAAUUNAAAAUUUCAAUUUUANUNNNNNNNNNNAUUUNUNNNNUAUAUAUAUAUAUUAUUCUAUAUUAAAUUUUAUUUAACUUUAUCAUAUUUAUAUAAAUUAUUAUUUUUUUUUGUUUUUUUUUAUAUUUAAAAUUUAAUUUUAUAUAAUUUUAUAUAUUACAUAUUAAAUAAUUUAUAUAUAUAUAAAUAUUUAUUAUAUUAUUAAAUAAUUAUAUUAAUUUUAUUUUUAUAAUAAAUCGAAUAUAUAUAUAUAAUAUAUAUUAAUAUAUAAAUAAUUUAAUAAUUAAUUAUUUAAUAAAUAAUUUAAUAAUAUAUAAAUAUUUAUAUAUAUAUAAUAAUAUAUACCCAUCCCAAUUUUUGAUGAUUUUACCCCAAUUUUUGAUGAUUUUACCCCAAUUUUCACGAUUUUAAAUUUUACUACCCGAUANUUUUAUAUAUAUAUAUAUUNANUCNAAUNUNNNNANUGAAUCUAUUUUAAAGGCUGCAAUAUUACUAAUUGUACAAAGGUAGCAUAAUAAUUUGUUUUUUAAUUAAAAACUAGAAUGAAUGAUUAAAUGAAAUAUAAACUCUAUCUAUUAAUAAAAUUUAAAUUCUUAUUUAAGUUAAAAAACUUAAAUAUCUAUAAAAGACGACAAGACCCUAUAGAAUUUUAUUUAAAGUAAAAUAUUUAUAUUAUUAUAAAAUANUUUUUUUCUAAAUUAAAUUGGGGUAAUUUNNAAAAAUUAAAUAAANUUUUUUAAAAUAUAACAUAAAUUAAUGAAUUAUAAAUCUUAAAAUUUAAAUUAAUAAAAUUAAUUACCUUAGGGAUAACAGCAUAAUUUUUUUUAAAAGACCCUAUUAAUAAAAAAGAUUAUGACCUCGAUGUUGAAUUAAGAUAAAAUAUAAAUGAAAAAAUUUAUGAAUUUAAGUCUGUUCGACUUUUAAAAUCUUACAUGAUUUGAGUUAAGAUCGGCGUAAGCCAGAUCAGAUUCUAUCUUUAUAAAAUAUUUAUAUAAUUGUACGAAAGGAACUUAUAUUAAAAAUAAUUUUAAAAAUAUUUCAAUUAUAUUAA
rnacentral:rRNA from 1 species